rnacentral:rRNA from 1 species
GACGAACGCUGGCGGCGUGCCUAAUACAUGCAAGUCGAACGCUGAAGAGAGGAGCUUGCUCUUCUUGGAUGAGUUGCGAACGGGUGAGUAACGCGUAGGUAACCUGCCUUGUAGCGGGGGAUAACUAUUGGAAACGAUAGCUAAUACCGCAUAACACUGGAUGACACAUGUCAUUUAUUUGAAAGGGGCAAUUGUUCCACUACAAGAUGGACCUGCGUUGUAUUAGCUAGUAGGUGAGGUAAUGGCUCACCUAGGCGACGAUACAUAGCCGACCUGAGAGGGUGAUCGGCCACACUGGGACUGAGACACGGCCCAGACUCCUACGGGAGGCAGCAGUAGGGAAUCGUCGGCAAUGGGGGCAACCCUGACCGAGCAACGCCGCGUGAGGGAAGAAGGUUGUCGGAUCGUAAAGCUCUGUUGUAAGUCAAGAACGGGUGUGAGAGUGGAAAGUUCACACUGUGACGGUAGCUUACCAGAAAGGGACGGCUAACUACGUG